rnacentral:rRNA from 1 species
AUUGAACGCUGGCGGCAGGCCUAACACAUGCAAGUCGGGCGGUAACAGGGAGAAGCCUGCUUCUCUGCUGACGAGCGGCGGACGGGUGAGUAAUGUAUGGGAAUCUGCCUGAUGGAGGGGGAUAACUACUGGAAACGGUAGCUAAUACCGCAUAAUGUCUCCGGACCAAAGCGGGGGACCUUCGGGCCUCGCACCAUCAGAUGAACCCAUAUGGGAUUAGCUUGUAGGUGAGGGUAACGGCUCACCUAGGCGACGAUCCCUAGCUGGUCUGAGAGGGAUGAUCAGCCACACUGGGGACUGAGACACGGGCCCAGACUCCUACGGGGGAGGCAGCAGUGGGGGAAUAUUGCACAAUGGGC